UACAGAGGGUGCAAGCGUUGCUCGGAAUUAUUGGGCGUAAAGGGUGCGUAGGUGGCGCUGUAAGUCGGGUGUGAAAUUUCGGAGCUUAACUCCGAAACUGCAUUCGAUACUGCGGUGCUUGAGGACUGGAGAGGAGACUGGAAUUCAUGGUGUAGCGGUGAAAUGCGUAGAUAUCUGGAGGAAUACCGGUGGCGAAGGCGGCAUCCUGGACCGACAUUGACGCUGAUGAGCGAAAGCUAGGGGAGCAAACGGG
rnacentral:rRNA from 1 species